CCUACGGGGUGCUGCAGUGAGGAAUAUUGGUCAAUGGUCGGAAGGCUGAACCAGCCAAGCCGCGUGAAGGAGGAAGGUACAAAGUAUCGUAAACUUCUUUUGUCAGGGGACAAAAUCAGGCUCGAGAGCCUGACCGAGGGUACCUGAAGAAAAAGCAUCGGCUAACUCCGUGCCAGCAGCCGCGGUAAUACGGAGGAUGCGAGCGUUAUCCGGAUUUAUUGGGUUUAAAGGGUGCGCAGGCGGGCUGUUAAGUCAGCGGUCAAAGCCCGGGGCUCAACCCCGGCGAGCCGUUGAAACUGGCUGUCUUGAGAUGGCGAGAGGUAUGCGGAAUGCGCGGUGUAGCGGUGAAAUGCUUAGAUAUCGCGCAGAACUCCGAUUGCGAAGGCAGCAUGCCGGCGCCAAACUGACGCUGAGGCACGAAAGCGUGGGUAUCGAACAGGAUUAGAUACCCGAGUAGUC
rnacentral:rRNA from 1 species